rnacentral:rRNA from 1 species
CGCGGUAAUUUGACCGUGCGAAGGUAGCAUAAUCAAUAGUCUUUUAAUUGGAGGCUUGAAUGAAUGGUUGGACGAGGGGUGAGCUGUCUCUUUUGGCGUAUGUUGAAUUUGACUUUUAAGUGAAAAGGCUUAGAUUAAUUAGAGGGACGAUAAGACCCUAUAAAACUUAAUACAAAUUUGGCUUGGUUUGUGAUUUGUGUGAAAAGUAGUCUUGUUUAGUUUGUAUUUCGUUGGGGCGACGAAGAUAUAAAAUGUAACUGUCUUUAAAAUUUAAUAGUGUUAAUUAGUAUUUGAUCCUUCUUUGUGGAUUAAAAGAAUAAGUUACUUUAGGGAUAACAGCGUAAUUUUUUUUGAGAGUUCUUAUCGACAAAAGUAGUUGCGACCUCGAUGUUGAAUUAAAGUUUCAGUUAGGUGUAGCCGUUUAACUGGUAAGUCUGUUCGACUUUUAAAACUUU